AAACAAAGAUUCGCCAUAUUUAUAUUCAAUAUCAAGGCCAGAACUCUUUUUCAUGAGAACACUCCAUACAAGCACGUAAAUGUAUCAUGACUCGUUCACAGAGCCUUGAGUAAAUCAUUCAAAAAACCCCUUAAACAGAAGCUAGGUGUGAGGGAAGCACGUACAUGCCUGCAUCGUUUGAUCUCGAGCUCAAUUCACUUAAAUCGUUCACCAAUCUAUUUGCAUCUGACACGUCCUGAUUUGAGAGCAUCGGACUCGCCGAACCUAUAGAACAAUACAAAUAACAACGGGCUCACAAGGUUAUAAUCAAACGCGUUCUUCUCAGUUAGAGUAUGCUAUUCGCUAAUUGCACGAUGGAGAGAAAUGUGGUGCUGCAUCUUACAUCGGAGGAGGUCAAAAGGAAGAAGACGACAGUCUAAAACGAAAACGCCAAUCUACAGCUUCAGUCAAUUCUAUUCACAGAGAGAGAACGAGUAUUGACCUGGCAUGAGGGCAUUUUCUGAAAUGUAGGUGUUCUUGGCAAGAACCGGCAGCAAAAGCAGAGCCAGAACCCCAGAAACGCAGCAGACGACACUGCGAAGAAGUCCACAAGGUCGAAAAAGCGCGUGUGAGCUCGCGCUCGAGUCGCCGGAACAGAUUCGCU
rnacentral:lncRNA from 1 species